rnacentral:rRNA from 1 species
GUGAGGAAUAUUGGUCAAUGGGCGAGAGCCUGAACCAGCCAAGUCGCGUGAAGGAAGAAGGAUCUAUGGUUCGUAAACUUCUUUUGCAGGGGAAUAAAGUGCGGGACGUGUCCUGUUUUGUAUGUACCCUGAGAAUAAGGAUCGGCUAACUCCGUGCCAGCAGCCGCGGUAAUACGGAGGAUCCGAGCGUUAUCUGGAUUUAUUGGGUUUAAAGGGUGCGUAGGUGGUUUGAUAAGUCAGCGGUGAAAGUUUGCAGCUUAACUGUAAAAAUGCCGUUGAAACUGUCGGACUUGAGUGUAAAUGAGGUAGGCGGAAUGCGUGGUGUAGCGGUGAAAUGCAUAGAUAUCACGCAGAACUCCGAUUGCGAAGGCAGCUUACUAAGCUACAACUGACACUGAAGCACGAAAGCGUGGGGAUCAAACAGGAUUAGAUACCCCUGUAGUCC